rnacentral:rRNA from 1 species
AUUGAACGCUGGCGGCAUGCUUUACACAUGCAAGUCGAACGGUAACAGGCCGCAAGGUGCUGACGAGUGGCGAACGGGUGAGUAAUGCAUCGGAACGUGCCCAGUCGUGGGGGAUAACGCAGCGAAAGCUGUGCUAAUACCGCAUACGAUCUAUGGAUGAAAGCGGGGGACAGGAAGGCCUCGCGCGAUUGGAGCGGCCGAUGUCAGAUUAGGUAGUUGGUGGGGUAAAGGCCUACCAAGCCGACGAUCGGUAGUUGGUCUGAGAGGACGACCAGCCACACUGGGACUGAGACACGGCCCAGACUCCUACGGGAGGCAGCAGUGGGGAAUUUUGGACAAUGGGCGCAAGCCUGAUCCAGCAAUGCCGCGUGCAGGAAGAAGGCCUUCGGGUUGUAAACUGCUUUUGUACGGAACGAAACGGUCCGGGUUAAUACCCUGGGCUAAUGACGGUACCGUAAGAAUAAGCACCGGCUAACUACGUGCCAGCCGCCGCAGUAAAAC